UACGUAGGGGGGCAAGCGUUGUCCGGAUUUAUUGGGCGUAAAGAGCUCGUAGGCGGUUCGACAAGUCGGGUGUGAAAACUCCGGGCUCAACCCGGAGACGCCACCCGAUACUGUCGUGACUGGAGUCCGGUAGGGGGAGUGGGGAAUUCCUGGUGUAGCGGUGAAAUGCGCAGAUAUCAGGAGGAACACCGGUGGCGAAGGCGCCACUCUGGGCCGGUACUGACGCUGAGGAGCGAAAGCGUGGGUAGCAAACAGG
rnacentral:rRNA from 1 species